CCUACGGGCGGCAGCAGUGGGGAAUAUUGCACAAUGGGGGAAACCCUGAUGCAGCGACGCCGCGUGAGUGAAGAAGUAUUUCGGUAUGUAAAGCUCUAUCAGCAGGGAAGAAAAUGACGGUACCUGAUCAAGAAGCCCCGGCUAACUACGUGACAGCAGCCGCGGUAAUACGUAGGGGGCAAGCGUUAUCCGGAUUUACUGGGUGUAAAGGGAGCGUAGACGGCAGCACAAGUCUGGAGUGAAAUUCCUGGGCUUAACCCCGGAGCUGCUUUGGAAACUGGGCAGCUAGAGUGCAGGAGAGGUAAGUGGAAUUCCUAGUGUAGCGGUGAAAUGCGUAGAUAUUAGGAGGAACACCAGUGGCGAAGGCGGCUUACUGG
rnacentral:rRNA from 1 species